rnacentral:lncRNA from 1 species
CCAGAUUAGCUCAAAGCUGAGAGUUUGACAGGAGACAAACGUAAAUGGCCAGCUAGAACUACAGAGGAAUCAAAAGAAAGCUAACUAGCAGAAAAUGAUGCCCAAUUGUAAAAAGAACUCUGCAAACUUUUUGACUAACCUGAGAAGGAAUAUUUACAAGCACAGAAGGCAAUAAAAACAGAAGUAUACACAAUCCUCACUACCACUUCAAAAUAUCAACAACCCGGCAGAGAAAUUCAAGAAAUGCAAGGAAUAAAUACGAG